ACGUUGUGUGCUGAGGUAGUUCAUGUGUCCUUUUUGAACCAUAGUACACACAGUUAAGAUUUUAUUGAUGCAGUUUCUUUCCAGAAGUUUGCAUAGUGUAUUAUUAAUAUUCUGCAAGGUCAUAACACAAUCUGAAGCAACUGUAAUGCAAUAAUUGUAAUAUUGGUAUUUUGUAGAUGUAGUUACAUCUGUAAAUUUGGUGUUACCAAAUGCUAUUGCAUUUGUCUCACAGGUUUGGAUUUCAGACAGUGCCAAAGCUAUGUAAAAGGCGGUGUGCAACGUUGAAGUUCUCCUUCAUGAGUAUUUACAUCAUUCUCUUGAAUAGAAAAUUAGAAAGUGAAUUUUUUGACAGUUUAAGAACGCAUAUGAAAUUAUUGCAGUGGCAGGAGAGAAAACAGAAAUAAUCAAGGGCUCAUCCCCAAAAAGUUUUUUUAAACAGAUUAAUUUUCAUUAAAUGAUGGGUUUUUUUGUUGUUUUUCAGAAAGCUGUGCCAAAGAAGACUUACUCAGAUGACAUCACCUUUGGACUACUAAUGCUACCCACCCACUCUACAAGGCACAAUGUAUUUCUAGGUAAUUUAACAAAUGUAGGGAGAAGCCCAUUCUUUCAUUUGCAAAUUCUUCUGGAAAUCUAUUUGGAUCUUGUAUACUGAACAUCAGUGAAACUAGUUUGGAAUUUAUUUUCUGCUAAAGAGGAUACCUCUAACUCCACAUUGUUCUUCACGGGAGCCAGGUUUCAUCCCUAAACCUCAUACUUCAACAAGUCCCAAAGUGUAAAAGGUAAAACUGUUCUUAUAAUUGAUAAGGUUUCCAUGGCUUUCAGUUAUCAACACUGAUGGGCUGAG
rnacentral:lncRNA from 1 species